GGUGGCAUCCCAUUCCUCAACCAGGAGUUGUUUAAGGAUGUGAUGAUCCCGGCUCAGUAGGGGAAAGUGUUGGCGUCCUGGAGGAUGGAGUUAGAUCCCAAACAGUGGAGACAUGGGAUCACCACUGGCUCCAGCAUCUCAUUACAAUUUGCCUGUCUAUCAAUCAGGCAGUCAGGUGCCAGUAAUGUAGGGCACACACCUGAACCUCAAAACAAGAGGGAAUAUUGGAGGGGAUAGUUGGUGCUCUGGUCAGAAGAACAAUCGUGCUGCUUGUUGUGAAGGUGACUGAAUCCCACCUGCCUGUUUAGGUAAAGGCCAUUUGCAAGAGUGAUGCCAUAAUUUUACUAUAAUCAAAUGAUUAGCAAGUCAGUAAACACCACUCACACUCGCUGCCACCAAUGAUGAACCUGAAUUCCUCAGUGGCACCUCACAUGUGCCGUCUGACCCCUCUCUCUCUACAGUCAACUCUAUUAUGUAAUGACACCUCAGCACAUAAUGUGACAAUACCACAGACAUUUCUAUACAGCAGAAAAACAAAACGUACAGAGGCGCACAUGUACACACACAUUUUUAUUCACUCUGGGGAAAAGUGAUUUCAGCUUGCCUGGCCAGCUCAGGGAGUCAUCAUAGAGAUAUGUGAUGAGAGCUGUAUGAAUUAAUCCAUUUUAUUACUGGAAUGUCUUUAGUCAGCAGUUAUGUCCAGUAUGUGAAAAGUAUGAAUUGCUGAGUUGGAUGAGUGUUCGCUCUCAACAAUCUUCAAUGACAAUAUUAUAGUGAGUUAUCAAUGUGUUUUAUUCAUAUGUAAUAUAUUUGCAUAUGGCUUUUCUAAAAUAUUUUUCCCAUGUAGCUUUAGAAAACUUUGAUACAUCAAGUGUACUGUCCUGGAAUAUUUCAUCAUGUUGGCCCAGUUUUAUUUUAUUGUUUCUGACAGGGGCUGUAAAUCAUCUCAGAAGAUACAGUCCCACGGGACUCUGCUGUCUGAACUCCACACGUGGGUUGCUUGGACCUGAGAGUGUGUGCUUUUACAUCUGCUGUACUCACACACUGGAAGCUUUUAUCCCCUGCUUUUUUUCUCAUUCAUAAUACUCUUUGUUUGCAAACACUGUCUUGUUUUUGCACAUUUUUUUUCUAACAUCAGUAAUUCCAACUUGGUGAUUCCCUUACACUGUCUAUGUGAAUAAUUAAGCAGGUGUGUAAGAUGGCAUCAUCCUAAGCAGACUCCCGAGAACACAUCCAGGCCAACGAAACUGAUGAGGAUGUUAUUUGCCUGUAGCCCGGCCAUGCCCCAAAUAUCACGAACAAUGUCAUGAGAUACACGUGAGUCCUUGAAAGUGGAGUCCUGAUAUCUCUGUCUUUACAGAGUUUGUGACAUCACAGCAAUGGGAACCACAGAUGGCGGGCAAAGCCAUCUCUUCAACACAGCAAGGUCUGUCACCGCUGUGAUCUCCAGGAUGGCAGACAUUACUUCAAAGCUGCUCUGAUUUCCAUCGUAGGGCUGGCCACUGUGCAAUUUUAAUGAGCGUUGGCGCUGUUUUGGGACAAUCUUGCACUACAACCCUCUGUGGGCUCAGGAUUUCUUUCGAUAGUGGUUCCUUCCUUUAUCUUCAUCUGUAGAACCCCACCUGUUUCAGUAUGCAGUGUUUGAUGAAAGCACCAUUCCAGUUUGCUUCCGCUACAAUUUGAAGAUCUUCAUAUGUGUUGCAAGAUGUUUUUCCAAAAUAUGCACCAACCAAGAGACUAAGCAGUGGUUAGAUGGUUAAAGUUCUUGGUAUAGUUUGUGAUUGCCUUGUCAUCUCAAAGAAACCAGUUAUUGCAUUUCUUGGUCUCUUAAUUAAAUCUCUAAAGCUGGAUACGAUAAGCUACUUUUUGUACUCUAAAAUCAUUAUCUAACUUAUCUAUUUACCUCCUAAAAUUAAACAUAAAUAAUCCUAAUUGUAUUAGGAGCUCUUUAGAAUUUGUUACUCUAUUUAAUGCCCAUCCAACAUGUUUAUUUUAUAUAAAUGAUUAUUUGAUUUUAUAUUAUGGUGUUUUAAAAAAAGAUUUACUUAAAUUAAUUUAGCUCAAAUGUCUCAUUAAGUUACAAAGUUUUAAUAACUCUCUUUCAUUAAUGCUUACAGUACUAUAUAUUCACCUGGUUUUUGUUGUUAGUAACCUG